UCUUUUUCCUGGCAGAGCAGACACUACGGCCAAAGUGAUUUUUCUGGGAUGAGGUUCAUCCCUUGUACCAUGCCUUUGUUGACUCCUCUGAUGAUUUUAGUUCAGCUGCACUGUUUCUGGUAGUGGAGAGCUGCGUUUUUGUUCUCCC
rnacentral:snRNA from 1 species